rnacentral:rRNA from 1 species
UACGGAGGAGGCAAGCGUUAUCCGGAGUUAUUGGGCGUAAAGCGUCCGCAGGUGGCACCUCAAGUCUGCUGUCAAAGACCGGGGCUUAACCCCAGAAAGGCAGUGGAAACUGAAGCGCUAGAGUGCAGUAGGGGUAGAGGGAAUUCCCGGUGUAGCGGUGAAAUGCGUAGAGAUCGGGAAGAACAUCGGUGGCGAAAGCGCUCUGCUGGACUGCAACUGACACUCAGGGACGAAAGCUAGGGGAGCGAAUGGG